CGGCGUGCUUAACACAUGCAAGUCGAGCGGUAAGGCCUUUCGGGGUACACGAGCGGCGAACGGGUGAGUAACACGUGGGUGAUCUGCCCUGCACUUCGGGAUAAGCCUGGGAAACUGGGUCUAAUACCGGAUAUGACCUCCUAUCGCAUGGUGGGUGGUGGAAAGAUUUAUCGGUGCAGGAUGGGCCCGCGGCCUAUCAGCUUGUUGGUGGGGUAAUGGCCUACCAAGGCGACGACGGGUAGCCGACCUGAGAGGGUGACCGGCCACACUGGGACUGAGACACGGCCCAGACUCCUACGGGAGGCAGCAGUGGGGAAUAUUGCACAAUGGGCGAAAGCCUGAUGCAGCGACGCCGCGUGAGGGAUGACGGCCUUCGGGUUGUAAACCUCUUUCAGCAGGGACGAAGCGCAAGUGACGGUACCUGCAGAAGAAGCACCGG
rnacentral:rRNA from 1 species